rnacentral:rRNA from 1 species
UACAGAGGGGGCAAGCGUUAUUCGGAAUUAUUGGGCGUAAAGGGCGCGUAGGCGGCCUGGCAAGUGGAAGGUGAAAUCCCUCGGCUUAACCGAGGAACUGCCCUCCAAACUGCUUGGCUUGAGUCCGGGAGAGGUGAGUGGAAUUCCCAGUGUAGCGGUGAAAUGCGUAGAUAUUGGGAGGAACACCAGUGGCGAAGGCGGCUCACUGGACCGGAACUGACGCUGAGGCGCGAAAGCGUGGGGAGCAAAC